GACGAACGCUGGCGGCGUGCCUAAUACAUGCAAGUCGACCUUAGUGGCGAACGGUUGAGUAACACGUGGGUAACCUGCCCAUCAGAAGGGGAUAACACAUGGAAACAGGUGCUACUACCUUAUCCUGAUGGAUGGACCCGCGGUGCAUUAGCUAGUUGGUGAGGUAACGGCUCACCAAGGCCACGAUGCAUAGACCAUCCGAGAGGGUGAUCGGACACAUUGGGACUGAGACGAGGACCAAACUCCUACGGGAGGCAGCAGUAUGUAAUCUUCGGCAAUGGACGAAAGUCUGAACGAGCAACGCCGCGUGAGUGAAGAAGGUUUUCGGAUCGUACAACUCUGUUGUUAGAGAAGCGGUAUCUAACCAGAAAGCCACGGCUAACUACGUGCCAGCAGCCGCGGUAAUUC
rnacentral:rRNA from 1 species